rnacentral:rRNA from 1 species
GUCGAACGAAGCACUCUUUUAGAUUUCCUUCGGGGAAGAAGAAAUUGUGACUGAGUGGCGGACGGGUGAGUAACGCGUGGGCAACCUGCCCCAUACAGGGGGAUAACAGCCGGAAACGGCUGCUAAAACCGCAUAAGCGCACAAGGGCCGCAUGGCCUGGUGUGAAAAACUCCGGUGGUAUGGGAUGGGCCCGCGUCUGAUUAGCUAGUUGGCGGGGGAGAGGCCCACCAAGGCGACGAUCAGUAGCCGACCUGAGAGGGUGGCCGGCCACAUUGGGACUGAGACACGGCCCAAACUCCUACGGGAGGCAGCAGUGGGGAAUAUUGCACAAUGGGGGAAACCCUGAUGCAGCGACGCCGCGUGAGCGAAGAAGUAUUUCGGUAUGUAAAGCUCUAUCAGCAGGGAAGAAAAAUGACGGUACCUGAGUAAGAAGCACCGGCUAAAUACGUGCUAGCAGCCGCGGUAAUACGUAUGGUGCAAGCGUUAUCCGGAUUUACUGGGUGUAAAGGGAGCGCAGGCGGUGCGGCAAGUCUGAUGUGAAAGCCCGGGGCUCAACCCCGGGACUGCAUUGGAAACUACCGAACUAGAGUGUCGGAGAGGUAAGUGGAAUUCCUAGUGUAGCGGUGAAAUGCGUAGAUAUUAGGAGGAACACCAGUGGCGAAGGCGGCUUACUGGACGAUAACUGACGCUGAGGCUCGAAAGCGUGGGGA